rnacentral:rRNA from 1 species
CAGUAGCCGCGGGAAUACAGAGGGUGCGAGCGUUAAUCGGAUUUACUGGGCGUAAAGCGUGCGUAGGCGGCUUCUUAAGUCGGAUGUGAAAUCCCUGAGCUUAACUUAGGAAUUGCAUUCGAUACUGGGAAGCUAGAGUAUGGGAGAGGAUGGUAGAAUUCCAGGUGUAGCGGUGAAAUGCGUAGAGAUCUGGAGGAAUACCGAUGGCGAAGGCAGCCAUCUGGCCUAAUACUGACGCUGAGGUACGAAAGCAUGGGGAGCAAACAGGAUUAGAGACCCCUGUAGUCCCUGUCUCUUAUAC